GGAAGGAUCAUUGAAUCUAUCAUUCCACAACGUGAACCAACCGUCAUGUGCUUGCCUUACACCCGUCGAAGCUUAGGUCCAGUAGCUAUUGGUUUCACUACCAUAAGCGAACGACUUUGGUGGAGGGAGUUUGGCAUAAGCAUGUGUACCCACUCCGCUGUUGGCCCAACAUUACCGGGCAACAGCAUAAAACCAAAAUCUGAAGUUAAGGUGGCUAUUCAAUUGGCGCCUAUAACAAAGACAACUCUCAACAACGGAUAUCUUGGCUCUCGCAACGAUGAAGAACGCAGCGAAAUGCGAUACGUAGUGUGAAUUGCAGAAUUCCGUGAACCAUCGAAUCUUUGAACGCAUAUUGCGCUCGCGACCUCGGUCAAGAGCAUGUCUGCCUCAGCGUCGUUUUGACACCUCACUCCCAUACUUGUUUUUAAGUAUAGUUCAUCUGGUCGAGACCAGUUUGACGGGAGUGGAUCUGGCUCCCUCGGCUUUGCAGCCGGGUUGGCCCAAAGAGCGAGGCUAGAGCACGGACCCAUUAUGGGCAUCAACUGGAUAGGUAGACGUGCCUUAGGUACACUACACGAAGUUGCUUGCUUGUGGACUGUGUUGACUGCCGAACAGGAAUUUUCUCAUAUUCGACCUGAGCUCAGGCAAGACUACCCACUGAACUUAAGCAUAUCAAUAAGUGGAGGAAAAGAAACUAACAAGGAUUGCCCUAGUAACGGCGAGCGAACCGGCAAUAGCCCAACUUGAAAAUCUCCCUUUGGAGAAUUGUAGUCUAUAGAAGUACCCUCUGCAACGGGCGGGACCCAAGUCUCCUGGAAAGGGGCGUCAAAGAGGGUGAGAACCCCGUCGGACCUUGCCUUGUUGCCUCACGAGGUGCUUUCGGAGAGUCGGGUUGCUUGGGAAUGCAGCCCUAAGUUGGUGGUAAAUCCCAUCUAAGGCUAAAUAUUGGCGAGAGACCGAUAGCGAACAAGUACCGUGAGGGAAAGAUGAAAAGAACUUUGAAAAGAGAGUUAAAAAGUGCUUGAAAUUGUUGAGGGGGAAGCGUUUGAAUGCUCGGGUGCGCCUAGGCUUAUGUAGUCUUAACGGGCUGCUGUAUGUGCUAGGUGCUGGCCAACAUGGGUUGGACUAGUAGGAUAACAGCUGGGGUUGUUACCCGGUCUAUACUACUGGCUUGACCAAGGCAUGAAGACUGCCCUUGUCCUUCGGGAACUGCAGUCUCAAGAUGUUGGCGUAAAGCUUUCAACCGACCCGUCUUGAAACACGGACCAAGGAGUCUAACAUGUAUGCGAGCUGGUGGGUGGAAAACCCAUGAAGCGCAAGUAACCUGACUGGUGGGAUGGCCUGUGCCUGCACCAUCGACCGACCAUGAGCUUCUGCGAAAGGUUUGAGUACGAGCAUACCUGUUGGGACCCGAAAGAUGGUGAACUAUGCCUGAGCAGGGCGAAGCCAGAGGAAACUCUGGUGGAGGCUCGUAGAUGUGCUGACGUGCAAAUCGCUUUUCGGACUUGGGUAUAGGGGCGAAAGACUAAUCGAACCAUCUAGUAGCUGGUUUCCUC
rnacentral:misc_RNA from 1 species